rnacentral:rRNA from 1 species
GACGAACGCUGGCGGCGUGCUUAACACAUGCAAGUCGAGCGGUAAGGCCCUUUCGGGGGUACACGAGCGGCGAACGGGUGAGUAACACGUGGGUGACCUGCCCUCAGCUCUGGGAUAAGCCUGGGAAACCGGGUCUAAUACCGGAUAUGACUCCAUGACGCAUGUUGUGGGGUGGAAAGCCUUGUGCGGCUGAGGAUGGGCCCGCGGCCUAUCAGCUUGUUGGUGGGGUGANGGCCUACCAAGGCGACGACGGGUAGCCGGCCUGAGAGGGCGACCGGCCACACUGGGACUGAGACACGGCCCAGACUCCUACGGGAGGCAGCAGUGGGGAAUCUUGCGCAAUGGGACGAAAGCCUGACGCAGCGACGCCGCGUGAGGGA